GCUCUGGCCACGUGAGAUGUCCCGGUUUCACCUUUCCCUUCAGCCAAGAUUUCAAGUUUCCCCAAGCCUCCCUAGAAGCAGAAGCCUGUACGGCCUGCAGAACUGAUGAUGUGGCAAGAAAACUCUUGCCAGAUGCUGGCACCUUGAUGUUGGCACCAGCCUCCAAGACUCUGAUAAUGCCUUCUGAGAUGAUCUUGUACCCAAAUUCAUGACUCGGAGUCUGAUUUGGAAGAAACCACACUGAAAACAUCCCUAAGGUGCAGGGAGCAACUCCUCCACUGGGCUUUCUUCUUCCUGAUGGAACAGAUGAAGGAGGUUAGUGGGAUGAUUUACAGAUGCCCUGGCUGCUGUUGACCUUGGUGCCACAGCUGGUGUCAUCACAUCCAUCAGACAGCAGGAGGUACCAGCAAGAUAGCUCAAUCCCAGGAACCUUCCAGGUCUACUUGACUUAUGUGAAAUGCAUACAUACUUGGCCAUGUUCCGCUGCUGAGGCCAAUCUCCGCACUUGCAUCUCUACUCACCUUUCUUCUUCACUACUAAAAUAGGAACCACCCUCAUCUAAGGAAUGUUUCCUGUGGAACAAAGACCUCUCCGUCCCCACUGAGAUGAGAAAGGCUGACAACUCACCACUCAAAUAAUUUUCCAGCAAUCCUUCUCCUCAUCCCACACUCCUCAGCCCACACCCAAUUGUCAGAUCUAUAUAAAUUAAUAAGCAACAGAGGGAGACGAUAAGGUGGUAGAUAUGGUAGCACAGCUAUUAAAAACCCAGAUAGGCACUUGCCUUCCAAAUAUUUUUGGCUCAUCACAAAAUUUGGGAUGCAAAACUUUGUCCUCAUUUGUAGAUCCUGAUUGUCAAUACUCAAGCAAUAGGAAAAGUUCCUUAACAUUCUGUUUUACAACAAACAUAGUGUUAGUGACUUCAGAGAUUUUCCAAAGAAGGAUAAUAAUGGCUUUUGACCUUUGAGAGCUUGUCAGUUGGGAGUCAAGAUACACACUUGCACAUACACAUGUACAUACACGUGCAUGAAAUGGUAGCAAGAUAUCUCAAUAGGAUACAAGUUCUUAGGGAGUCCUAGGAACAUGGAGUAGACUGUUGCUAUUGUGAUUGAGAAGGAAAAUAAAUCCCUGUAGAUUGGGAAAAGGUAAGUAUGAAACUAGGCUCUGAAGGAGCACUGCCAAGGUCAUGGUGUGGUGGCAGAAGAAAAUGUGGGCAGGAAAUCUUAGGGUGGCAGACCCACCAUUUGGCUGGCCUGGGAGGAUCAUACAGGGCCCUCAAAGGCAGUCAGGAUGGGACAGUCUUGGGUGCCUGACUGCAGAGCCUGGACUUCUAUUUCUGGCAGUUGGAGACUCAUAUGGGUUCUUGAGCUAAUACAGGACAAGAUAAAGGCACAAGCCGGGGAGGAGGAGAAAGACAGCAAAUCCAAGUCUGUCCUUUGGCUCUGUCUAUAUCAGAGUUAAGGAAGUGGUUUAAUCACUUCAAUAGUCACCCAGAGACCAUCCCUGAUGAAAAGUCAGGACAGAAGAGUCCCAUGGGAACAGGCCAGGAAACAGAGGAUGUCACAGAAUGUGAGAAGUUGUGCCCACAGCUAAGCAUUUGCAGGCACCCGGCAUGCACUCAUGGCCUUCCCUUGGCCCAGCCACAAGGGAAGGAUAAGUCAAAUCCCAAUCCUGUAUUCUUUCUUUUUGUGCCUAAAUUCACACAUAUUUCCUCUCUUUCCCUGCCUUCCAUUAUCUGCUCCAGCUAAUGUCAUGUCUCAAAUUGAGCUCAAUGUUUUUUCUUACCACCAUAUCCAUGUUGGAUGCCUGAGUCAUGGGCAUAAACCUCCACAGGACUUUCCAGAGAUGCUUAGAGUGACACCAUAGCAGGAGAAGAACAGAACACCAGGGGAUGCAGGGAUAAGAAUACCGUUGAGAUAUUUAGGCACAUGCCCCAUGCCAUUUUGAGUCACCCAGUCAGACAGUUCUUUGUCAGAUGCUUGAGCUAUUUCUAAUGACAUGUGAUUCACACUUCCUUCUUCCUUAGAGGUUCAGAUGACCAAUAGUUGUGCCCACUUCUUUGAAUCUGGGAUCUCACCCACUUCAGCAGAGCUGAUUGGUUCCUGAAGGCCAUAAAGAAGACAGGAAGACCAGAGAUGCUGGUGGCACAGACCUCAGCCAGGAGGUCUGGCCACUUGAUGGAUGAAGCUUUUUCUAGACUCCCUGAUUCCAGAAGUUGGGCCUGGACAGUGGGCAUAAUGGUGUGAGGCAUGGACCUUGUUUUCCGACCAAAGAUUCUCUCUUUCCAAGGGCAGACUGAAUAUUCUCUGCACUAAUAGAUGAAGAGAGAACAUCCUCUCACCUUCUGAUACAAGGAAUUUGUUAAUUCUUUUAGUUAGGCAUCUGUUGUCAAUUCAAGAGAGGGACAGAGAGGCCACAACACUGAAGUGAAUUCCUUAGGCUCAAUAUGAGACAGCCAGAGUUGAAGUUUGGAACCUAAACUUGGAUCAAGAUCAUAAUAAGAUUCUCUGGGUUGUUACUGCUGUGAAUAGAAGGUCCUAAAUUCCAAAUGGACAGGGCAGUGUGUGACAGACCUGUUUUCUGGUGAGACAGAUGGCUUCCUUCUACCACAGGUUCCCAUAUCCAGAAAAAACCCAGGUGCCUUUUAUGAGGUACAUCCUGGGUGGGAUAAAACCUAAGGACAAAAAGAAAGGCAAAAAAUGAAAAUCCAAAUCUGAAAAUGUUUACAGUUAUCAUAGUGUUAGUGAUGGUGUUGAUAUUCUUAUGUAAGAUUAGUAUUUGUAUUGUGGGAUAAAGCAAAUAAGCAAUUAUGUGAUUUUCAAAUUCUCUCAUCCCAGGUGUCCUUGAAAACUGGGAUUCUCCGUGUGGGAAAAAGGAGAUAAAGUUGUGAGACAGAAAGACAUUUAGUGCUAGAUUUAAAGAAGUAUCACUAUGAAUUCAUUAUGUAUUUUAUUUUAAAACAUAUAAAAGAAACAGAACAAAUUUCCUAAUUGUAUGCAAUUAAAAGACAUAGAAAAGUCUAGAAAUAUUGAGCAUCUCCAGUGCCUAGAUUUUAGUAUUAAAAUAUUCUUUCCCCACAAAGGAAAUGAAAGGUCCUAGGAGCUAAUUCAAGAUCAAGGGAAUGAAAUAUACAAGAUGAACCUGAAACAUCUUGUCAACCCAGAUAGAUUUUUUUACCAUCAAAACUCACUAGGGGCCAGGUACAGUGGUUCAUGCCUGUAAUCCCAGCUCUUUGGGAUGCUGAGGCAGGAGGAUCACUUGAGGCCAGGUGUUCAAGACCCCCCUGGACAAUAUAGUCAGACACCAUCUCUACAAAAAAAAGUUUAAUUGAAUGAACGUGGUAGCACAUGUCUGUAGUCCCAGCUACUCACAAGACGGAGGUGGGCUGAUCACUUGAACCCAGGAGUUCAAGGCUGCACUGUACCCCAGCCUGAGCAACAGAGUGAGACCCUGUCUUUAAAAAAGAAAGAACGAGAAAAGAAAACCCCCAAUUUAGUUUAUGAUAUUAAUACAACUAACACUGACUUGAUAUUUGAUAUUAAGAAAUUAUUAUUUUUGCCAUGAUAAUGAUAUUGGGAUGGGGGUGGGGUUGGAGGUUAAACUCUUAUUUUUUUAUAGAUACUGAUUUAGCUUGGAUGUUUCUAAAAGCAGAGCCUGAGACAAAGACUUGGAUUCAGGUAGUUUGAGAGAUGAUCCCAGGAAGCAUGAGUCAAGUAUGAGGGAGAGUAAGACAGAGAAGUAGCAAAAGCCAAUCAAAGUGUGCAUCAUCAAGGUCAAAGCAGUGGACAUCGGGGAUCUGAUUCCAUGCAUACCUCUAAGAAGGACACAGAACGCUCCCAGAAUUGUCCAUCUGAAGGAUGAGAGUCUGGGACAUUGUCUCCCAUCCCCCAUUGGAUGAGUUGAUAACUCCUCACAUUUCAGAGAAAGCCCUGAGCCAGAAAGUGAAAAUGCCCAUAGCACACAUUUUAGGAGUGACUUUGUCACUGUCAGAGAGAGUCUGGCCUCUACAGAAACUUUUGCUACAGCUGCAGGUGAAAUCAGAGAUAAACCAGCAAAUGUGACACAGGAACUUCUACUACAGAUUCAUGUUGUAAUAAUUACAGACAAAACACUCUAUGCCUGAGAUUGGUAAGGUGGAGGGGACGCAUGAGGGUAUAGAUAAAACGAGUGUGGCCAAGAAUUCAUACUUGCUUAAACUGGGUAAAGGGUACAUAUGGGUUUGUUAUACAAUUCUGUCUACUUUUGUAAAUGUUUAACAUUUACCAUAACAGAAAGUUAAAAAGAAAGAGAAGAAAAAAGGAGAAAGAUGGAGGAAGAGAGGAAGACAAGAUAUGAAAGAAAGAAAAAAAAAAAAAGCAAAGUUCCUGGAAUCAGAAAUAUUGGCUCCACUAAAUUGGCAAGGCAAAGAACCCCUCCAAGCCUCCAACUCUUGGCUUUUGUCAUCUAAAAAAAAAAAAAAAAAAAAAAAAAAGCUAGUAAAAGAAAAAGAACCUACUUCCUAGAAUAAAUAUAUACAUAAUGAGAGUGCAUUCACUGUUGCACUUUCAAAUAGCCAACCUUACUGGUCACGCACACAGCAAGUGCUCAAUAAAUGUUAGCUACUACACUAUGAUUGUGAGAACUCCAUGUCCAGACAGCAGGCAAGAGUGAGCAGGCCUAAUCUGGUUCACGAGGGAGAAUUUCAGGGACAAAAUGAUCUCACAGUGGUGCUGUGAUUCUGUUCGCCUAACAUAUUUUGAAAUGCUCAGAAGAAAAAGAAAAUACAGCAAACUCUGUGCUAUACAUGUGCAUCUGAGGGGGACACUGGUAAUUAAAUAUGAGACUCCAAUUGCUCAGCACACAUCCUGUGUUCCCCAUUUUUAAAAAGUGUGGGAUGAUAAUCCCUGUUCCUCUAUCAGAAGGAGAUGACAUCCUAGCUGCCUAUCGGGAAUGAUGGAGAAGGGCAGAGCAUGGUAUCUGGCAUGGAGUAAGUGGUUCAGAAACGGUGGUUGUGUUGAAAUAAUCGUUAUUGUGUUACUGCUGCUGCUGUUUUUAGGAACCAUUUCUCCCUCUCUUGGCAUUGAGACCACCAUGAAUCUUUAGCCUUGGAUCCUUAAAUGAGCAUCCCCUCCUCAUCUGAAUGCCAUCUAUCCUCAAAGGGCCAACAUAAGACCUGGAAAAAACAGUGAAGAAUCCUGUGAGCUACAAACACUAUGGAAAUAGACCCUCUUAUUGUAAAACCUUGACCAGCUAAUGUUGCUAGGAAGUGAAAGACUAAACCUUCUCACUUUUUGAGAGUUAACUAGAAACCUCUUUUUUAUUUCCAUCCUUGUUGCAAUCUUUCUAACAUGCAUCAGCCCAACUUGCUGCCUUAGAAAGUUUAAUCUUUGAAGACUUUGACCACAUUAUGCCUCAGAGUCACCUUUCUGACCACCUGUAACUCUGCGCAAGAGGAACCAAAGACACAGAAGCCUCAUGACCUCAUAACAUUCCCAAGGAGUUGUUUUGUCUAAUGAAUAAUACUUUUCUUUCUUAUCACUUAUAUCUUACACAGGAAAAACUGAGUGCCAGGAAACAGUUUGGCUAUUUAAAUAUUCUAAUUAAUCAAUUUUUUUCUAUUUCACUGGCUUAUAUAAAUCUGGUUAAUAUAAAAACCCUUAUCAGUCAAGUCCAAGUCCGUAUUCAGCCAUUUUAGUGUCCCAAAUGGCUAUGUUAGAAACAGUGCCUGAAUUAUACUAAAUGACUAAAUCUUGUUACCUUGAGAAAUUUUGAAUAUUUUCCCUAUAUAAUUAGAGAUUGCUUAUUUAUGUAAAAGUUCUUAAGCUCUCUUGACCUACAGCCCCCCUUAAGAAUCUGAUGAAAAUCAUGGACUUUCAUCCCUAAAAAUGUAUGUAUGCCCAUGUACUGCUUGUUUAUCUCCCUGCAAAUCUCCUAUAGCACAUCCAUGGACCUCUAGGGGUUCUAAGAACCCCAAGUUAAUAAUAACAACUGGUUAGACUUCCUCCCAUUGUUAAAUGGUUAAACUCUUUCAUAAAAGCAGUGGUCCUGGAUGUCUCUUCACAUAGAAACCACUCUUACUGAAGUUUUGACAUACAUAUACCUCCAUGAAACUGUAACCACAAUCAACAUAAUAAAAAUACCUUUUAUCUCAAAAACGUCCUCAUGGUCCCUUGUAAAUUUUAGCAGGUAGGCCAAUUUGUAAAUACAGAAUCUGUGAAAAAUGAGAUUGAUAAUAUAUUUGUCUAUUUUUAUACCAAUACCAUACUGUCUUGAUUACUGUAUCUUUACAUUAAAUCUUGAAAUUAGGUUAAUGUUAGUUCUCUACUUUGUUCUUUUCAGAGUUUUUUGCGAUCUUAAGGCCUUUGAAUUUACAUAUGAAUUUUAGGAUCAGCUCAUCAAUGUUUACAAAAAAAAUCUGUUGGAAUUAUGAUUAGGAUGACCUUGAACCUGUAAAUCAUUUUGUCUAUUUUUUUGGCAUUGAUUUUAAUUGUUUUCUGGUCCAAUCAUUAAUAUUUCCUUUUUUCUGCAUACUUUACAGUCCUUUUAAAUAAUUUUUAAAGGGGAAAUCUGAAGCCAUUAAUUGGAGAUGUUUCUUCUUUUCUAGUAUAGUCAUUUAAUGCUGUAAAUUUCCCCAUAAGGACUGUCUUAGCAGUAUUCCACAAAUUUUUAUAUGUUGUAUUUUAUUUUCCCUCAGCACAAAAUACUUUUUUUUAAAUUUUUUUAUUUAU
rnacentral:lncRNA from 10 species